rnacentral:lncRNA from 1 species
CAAAUUAUGUCAUCCUACAUGCUCUGACUUUUUGUUUUGCUUUUUAUUUCCAGUGACGGAGAUGGACAAUACUGAUCUACUCACAUUCUCCAGCUGCCCCUGCAGUCAGAUGCCUAGCAGAAAUUAUGCAAAGUCUCUGUAAAAGAUGAUAAGCCAGUAGUCUCUGUUCCAAAACAAGAUUCAGAACUCCCAUCAUUCUUAAAUUCCCUGGGCACUGGAAUCCUUGAGUCUGCAGUGGAAUAUGUUCUCUCCUCAAUGGCCCGGAGAUCUGGAUUUUCUGAUGUGGAAGAUAAACCAGAAAAGACUUCAUAAAAAGAACUGGAUGCCAAUCUCAGCUCCUCAACCAGACCAGGCCCCUCCUUUCCCUCAGCUUUCCUGGUUGUCCAGCCCAGAGACCCUGAGCUGCUGUUAUUGCUUUGGAUAUCAGUAGCUCCAGUCCCCUGGCUCAGCCUCAGAAGAUUAUGUGUAAAUGAUCACUCUUCCCUUCCUGGAAGACAAAAUAAAGUCCAUAAACUCAUGAUAUUGAGUCA